CACUCACUGUCUUCACAAAGCUCCUGCUUCAGAGAGAAGCCAACAGAUGAUGGAGCCCAGUAUCGGAAGAGCAGUACCUGGAGGGGCAAUGCGAAAGACACCGUGGGUUGUCCAGCCACCAGCCAUUUCCAACUCACCUUCACCUGCCUCUCACUACAGAGGCGGAAAAUCCAGGCUCCUCAUCCCAGCAUCCCUUACAGCUAGGGUCUAGCCAAUGAGAUACCAAGGGAAAUCAGUUUGGCUGCUUCUGGGAAGGGUUUUUCCCAAGGUAUCAGGACAGCUGUGUGAGGAGCAUUCCUAUCGCCUAUCAGCCCAUCUUCAUCCUUCUGCCUGGAAUAUUGCUGCUGUGUGAGGACAUGUUUGGAGCUGCUGAGCCCACCCUGUGACCGGGAGAACCGCAGAGACAGUGAUCCAGGCUGCAGACGCAACCAUCAACAAUGGAGGAACCUGCGGAACCUUCUCUUUUCAGAUUGGUUAAAGGAGAUAAUUAAAACGUCUUCUUGCUUUCAGGUAUUCAGUUACUUGCACCUGCAUCACUUGGAAUGAGCUCUGACUGUGAGUAACAGAAAGCCCAACAAUAACAGUGACUUACACAAGACAGAAGCUUACUUCUCUUUCACAUAAAAGAAAUCUGAAGGCCUGUGGCAGCCAGGUGGCCAACAAGAUUAUGUGGGACUCUGCCUCAUCCUCAGAGCUGGCUCCCUUGCCCAGCAGUUUGGUGGAAGAGAUGGUGCAUCUUAUCAUGAGAGCCUGAGUCCCAACUCCACUCCAGAGGAAGGCAUGGAGACAGCAGCAGUAUCAGAGAAAGACAAAUGGCCAAGAGUAUUCAAGUGCCAAGAGCAAGAGGUCAGCAGUGGAGAGGCUGCAGUCAGGCUCCCCUGUUGUUCCAGGCAGUUGACAGACCCCAGGAGCAGCCCCAAACAGUUCCCAGAUGCAGGCGGGUGCUCUCACCCCUUGCUUGUAAUUACCCUGUGAUAGAUGUUGGUGUUGCUGCUAAAGGUAUCUGCAUGCAGGCUUUAUGGUCAUUUUCCAACAGCCCGGCCCUUUUAAACUCUCUUGUGGGAGCAGGUUAAGAUGAUUAUGCAGAUAGAUGGACCCUGCUGCAAUAUUACGCCAGCGGUGGAGAUGUAGGCACUGCAAAUGGGGCACAAU
ensembl:lncRNA